rnacentral:lncRNA from 1 species
UUUAAUAAUAAUUUUAAGAGGGUAAUGUAAUUACAAAAAUUUAAAGUGUUAACAUAUAACGAAAUAUAUUUUUCUUAUAUUCGAUAUAGACUUCUUGAAAUGAAAUAGAAGGAAUUACACUUAAAAUGAAGGGGCAAAUACUAUAAAAUCAAAUAUAGUUAAUGAUUGUUAAACAAAAAUCUUGAUGAAAGUGAUUCUUAGUAUAAAAUUAUAAAAUUGAAAGAUUAAAAAAUAUAAUUUUUAAAUAUUAGAUGUAACUAAUAUGAAAAAAUAUAUGGGGCAAAUAGUAAUUAUUCUUAUAAAUAAUAAUA